UACGGAGGGGACUAGCGUUGUUCGGAAUUACUGGGCGUAAAGCGCACGUAGGCGGAUUUGUUAGUCAGGGGUGAAAUCCCGAGGCUCAACCUCGGAACUGCCUUUGAUACUGCAAAUCUCGAGUCCGGAAGAGGUGAGUGGAAUUCCUAGUGUAGAGGUGAAAUUCGUAGAUAUUAGGAAGAACACCAGUGGCGAAGGCGGCUCACUGGUCCGGUACUGACGCUGAGGUGCGAAAGCGUGGGGA
rnacentral:rRNA from 1 species